CAGCGAGCCCGCGCCCGCGCACCAGCAGAUCGAGGUCAUCAGCCUAUCCAGCAGCACAUUAUCUCUCGGCGGCAGCGGUGCAGAUGACUAAAGCUUAAACUCGCACCCAUUAUGUUCCUAGGCGGAAUGGAGGAUAGCGAGAACGGACCGCGUGGGCGAGGCAUGCGGGGGCCGGGGACGCCCCUCGCGCCGCUCACACAAGUUGUAUACGCGAUUCUAAGAUUAUCUAAUCUUAAAUUUAUUAUAUGAAUUAAAUUUAAUUAUUA